UCCCCGUUACCGGGGCAGUCUGGCUAGAAAAAUUCAACUAACCAUAAGGGUUGCGCUCGUUGAUGGACUUAACCAAACGUCUCACGACACGAGCUGACGACGGCCAUGCAACACCUGUCACUUGGCUCCCGAAGGCACUCUCGGCUUUCGCCAAAAUUCCAAGGAUGUCAAGUCUGGGUAAGGUUCUUCGCUUACCAUCGAAUUAAACAACACGCUCCACCGCUUGUGCGGGUCCCCGUCAAUUCCUUUGAGUUUUAGUCUUGCGACCGUACUCCCCAGGCGGAAUACUUAACGCGUUAGCUUCGCUACAUACCGGGUCGAUACGGCAUACAGCUAGUAUUCAUAGUUUACGGCGUGGACUAC
rnacentral:misc_RNA from 1 species